AACGAACGCUGGCGGCAGGCCUAACACAUGCAAGUCGAACGGAUGUAGCAAUACAUUAGUGGCGCACGGGUGAGUAACGCGUGGGAACGUGCCCUUGGGUGCGGAAUAACACAGGGAAACUUGUGCUAAUACCGCAUAAUAUCUUCGGAUCAAAGAUUUAUCGCCCAAGGAUCGGCCCGCGUCUGAUUAGGUAGUUGGUGAGGUAAUGGCUCACCAAGCCUACGAUCAGUAGCUGGUCUGAGAGGAUGAUCAGCCACACUGGGACUGAGACACGGCCCAGACUCCUACGGAGGCAGCAGUGAGGAAUAUUGGACAAUGGGCGAAAGCCUGAUCCAACCAUGCCGCGUGAGUGAUGAAGGCCUUCGGGUUGUUAAGACUCUUUCGACGGGGAAGGAUAAUGACCGUACCGUAGUAAGAAGCCACGGCUAAAUUACGUGUCCAGCAGCCGCGGU
rnacentral:rRNA from 1 species